GAACGCUGGCGGCGUGCUUAACACAUGCAAGUCGAACGGAAAGGCUCCUGCUUGCAGGGGUACUCGAGUGGCGAACGGGUGAGUAACACGUGGGUGAUCUGCCCUGCACUUCGGGAUAAGCCUGGGAAACUGGGUCUAAUACCGGAUAGGACGAUGGUUUGGAUGCCAUUGUGGAAAGUUUUUCGGUGUGGGAUGAGCUCGCGGCCUAUCAGCUUGUUGGUGGGGUAAUGGCCUACCAAGGCGUCGACGGGUAGCCGGCCUGAGAGGGUGUACGGCCACAUUGGGACUGAGAUACGGCCCAGACUCCUACGGGAGGCAGCAGUGGGGAAUAUUGCACAAUGGGCGCAAGCCUGAUGCAGCGACGCCGCGUGGGGGAUGACGGCCUUCGGGUUGUAAACUCCUUUCGCUAGGGACGAAGCGCAAGUGACGGUACCUGGAGAAGAAGCACCGGCUAACUACGUG
rnacentral:rRNA from 1 species